CCUUCAUCCCAAUCUCCUAAUAAAUACAGAUGUAUGAGUCCGGCUGGGAUACUAUCGAUAGCACCAAACACUUGGUAUUACCGAGCUUUUCGCCGUUAGAUUUAACCCUGUGACUAUUUUCACCCGUAAGAUUAUACUAUUCAACCAACAACUCACUCAACCCUAGAGAGUCCAUAUCAUCUUAACCAUACAUUUCUUCAUCCAAGGGCCGAAAACCCAAUAGCAUCAACAACUUGGUGAUAUUGAUAGCAUUCCAGCCUAGUUCUAUAUAUAUAUAUAUAUAUAUAUUGA
rnacentral:lncRNA from 1 species